rnacentral:lncRNA from 1 species
AGAGACUGAAAAUAAGAAAGGGGUGAGGCCUAAGGGACAAUCAGGAUGUUUUUCAGAGAGAAGUGUGGAUGCUGGACAGGAAGAACCACAGAUACCAGAUACGGACAAAACCUGAAAAUCUCUAAUCUGCAUGUGUUCAGCUGCGUAUCUUCUGGAUACGGAAGGAUCACACUGCACAGAGUGCUGGACUUGCAGGAGCCCCGCUUCUCAACCUCCAUCGCUUUAUGAAUGAAUUCACCAGAAAGAAAAGGAAGAAUCAACACUUUCAGAGAUGGAGCCUGUUGAGCCACAGUACCAACUAGUCAAUGCUGAAUCGACUUCUCCCUUUCUACAUUGCCUGAGAGAAGUCAUUGGGGAAUACUCUGUACACGAAUUUUCACUGUUGGGGAAAACAGAGAGUCAAGGGAUUGGAUUGUGGAUUGCAUUGGUGGUUUUCCUCAGUUUCCUCAUCUUCUCCACAAGUUUCUACAUAUCGAAUGCAGAGCAGCCCUUCUUCAAAGGACCUCCUACGGAAGCUGCUAAGGAACUCAGUCUGUAGCUCUGCGUGGAGCCAUGUGUAAACACUGAACUGAGACCUGCCACCUCCUACUACCUAAGGGCCCAUUUUCAUCUGAUAUCAUCCCCCAGAAACAAACUCAUGAUGACUUCCAUGUUUUUUUUAGAUUAGAUACAUGGAGAAUUUUCCUUUCCCUUAGAAUUAAAAUCCUGCA